rnacentral:rRNA from 3 species
UGUUUCGGCUAGGGGGCCAUCCCGGCUUACCAACCCGAUGCAAACUGCGAAUACCGGAGAAUGUUAUCACGGGAGACACACGGCGGGUGCUAACGUCCGUCGUGAAGAGGGAAACAACCCAGACCGCCAGCUAAGGUCCCAAAGUCAUGGUUAAGUGGGAAACGAUGUGGGAAGGCCCAGACAGCCAGGAUGUUGGCUUAGAAGCAGCCAUCAUUUAAAGAAAGCGUAAUAGCUCACUGGUCGAGUCGGCCUGCGCGGAAGAUGUAACGGGGCUAAACCAUGCACCGAAGCUGCGGCAGCGACGCUGAUGCGUUGUUGGGUAGGGGAGCGUUCUGUAAGCCUGCGAAGGUGGCCUGUGAGGGUUGCUGGAGGUAUCAGAAGUGCGAAUGCUGACAUAAGUAACGAUAAAGCGGGUGAAAAGCCCGCUCGCCGGAAGACCAAGGGUUCCUGUCCAACGUUAAUCGGGGCAGGGUGAGUCGACCCCUAAGGCGAGGCCGAAAGGCGUAGUCGAUGGGAAACGGGUUAAUAUUCCCGUACUUGGUGUUACUGCGAAGGGGGGACGGAGAAGGCUAUGUUGGCCGGGCGACGGUUGUCCCGGUUUAAGCGUGUAGGCUGGUUUUCCAGGCAAAUCCGGAAAAUCAAGGCUGAGGCGUAA